CUCCUAAAAAUAUAAAGCUAAACUAGUCUUGAACACGGGUGUUAUAAAGGUCAUGAUUUCUGAUCAAUAUACUUACACAACACUCAUAGAUGGGCUAUCCAAAGCAAAAAGAUUGGAAGAUUCAAAUAUGGUUUUAGAAGAUAUGUAUAUUACUUUUUUUUGUGGCAAAUUUUUGUGAUGAUUAGGAAAUUUGUGAGGUAGUGCUGGUUGUGAUCGUGGCAAAAAGAGCAAUACGGUGGUGGUGUAUGGCUACAUGAUGGGGAUUUGGAGACCCUAAAAGCGUUUCAGAUGAAAACGAGGAAGUUCGAGUAAAGCGAAAGACGGAAGAAGGAGAAUUCAUGAAGUAAAUCAGUGAAUUGAAAAUCAUAGUACAGUCGUUUUAAGCAUAUGGCUUGUAAUAUUGAGGAGAAGUCAUUCUGGGUUGAACUGGGAGCCGAUUUAUUAGUCGAGGUGAAAACAUUGCAAAUAGGCAUCUGGCGAAUGUCAAAGAUUUGGUGAUAGCUUCAAGAAUGCAAAAUCCAUUUUAAUUGGGAAGGUAAUUUCUUGCAAGAGAUAUAAUGGUUAUUAAUUUUUAAAUAUGCCGACCACUGGGCUUUGAAAUUCUACAUGUUAAUUACUUUACUGUAGGUUAUACACACAUUUUAGCUAUCCAAAACAUUCUAAUUUUGUAGGGUUUUUUUAUCAUUAUAUUUAUGUUGGUCCAACCUACAGAACGUGAAAAAGCUUUUAUGUAUUCAUUAUCUCUUGUGUUAUGAUGCUUUCCUUGUUUCUGUAAUUUUAGUUUUUCCCUUGGUCCAACCCUUUUGUAU